rnacentral:misc_RNA from 1 species
AACGCACAUUGCGCCCGCCAGUAUUCUGGCGGGCAUGCCUGUUCGAGCGUCAUUUCAACCAUCAAGCCCCUGCGCUUGUGUUGGAGCCCUGCGGCUGCCGCAGGCUCCCAAACCCAGUGGCGGGCUCGUCGUCGUACCGAGUGCAGUAAACUUACCACGCUCAGGGCACGCGACGGGUGACCGGCCGUAAAACCCCCCCCUUCUCAAGGUUGACCUCGGAUCAGGUAGGAAUACCCGCUGAACUUAA